rnacentral:rRNA from 1 species
CAGCCGCCGCGGUAAAACGUAGGUGGCAAGCGUUGUCCGGAAUUAUUGGGCGUAAAGGGCUCGCAGGCGGUUUCUUAAGUCUGAUGUGAAAGCCCCCGGCUCAACCGGGGAGGGUCAUUGGAGACUGGGAAACUUGAGUGCAGAAGAGGAGAGUGGAAUUCCACGUGUAGCGGUGAAAUGCGUAGAGAUGUGGAGGAACACCAGUGGCGAAGGCGACUCUCUGGUCUGUAACUGACGCUGAGGAGCGAAAGCGUGGGGAGCGAACAGGAUUAGAUACCCCAGUAGUCCCUGUCUCUUAUAA